rnacentral:rRNA from 1 species
AAGACCUUGCGCUUUUGGAGCGGCCGAUGCCUGAUUAGCUUGUUGGUAAGGUAAAAGCUUACCAAGGCUUCGAUCAGUAGCUGGUCUGAGAGGACGGCCAGCCACACUGGGGCUGAGACACGGCCCAGACUCCUACGGGAGGCAGCAGUGGGGAAUUUUGGACAAUGGGGGCAACCCUGAUCCAGCCAUGCCGCGUGAGUGAAGAAGGCCUUCGGGUUGUAAAGCUCUUUCAGCCGGAACGAAACGGUUACGGUUAAUACCCGUGAUUACUGACGGUACCGGAAGAAGAAGCACCGGCUAACUACGUGCCAGCAGCCGCGGUAAUACGUAGGGUGCGAGCGUUAAUCGGAAUUACUGGGCGUAAAGCGUGCGCAGGUGGUUUUGUAAGUCAGAUGUGAAAGCCCCGGGCUCAACCUGGGAACU